rnacentral:rRNA from 1 species
UACGGAGGGGGCUAGCGUUGUUCGGAAUUACUGGGCGUAAAGCGCACGUAGGCGGCUUUGCAGGUUAGAGGUGAAAGCCCGGAGCUCAACUCCGGAAUUGCCUUUAAAACUGCAUCGCUAGAAUUGUGGAGAGGUAAGUGGAAUUCCGAGUGUAGAGGUGAAAUUCGUAGAUAUUCGGAAGAACACCAGUGGCGAAGGCGACUUACUGGACACAUAUUGACGCUGAGGUGCAAAAGCGUGGGGAGCAAACAGG